AAUAGUUUCAUAUUUAAUUAUAUAAGUUUUACAACAUUUAGAUGUAACUCUGACAUACAUUGGAGCUCUUAGUUACAAUGUUUCCGUUAUAACGUCUUUAAUGAUAUCACCAAACAAUAAAUGCUGACAUGAUUGUUCUUUAAGUCCCUCCUGACCAUUUCCCACAUUCUUUGUGUUAGGAAUGUUGUUUCAUUAUCCAGUUUUGGAUGUUGUAGUUUUGUCGGGAAGAAUCUGCUUGUAACAAAAGGGUUAUUACCCCUCAAUACUGCAUGGCCAGGGAGAGAGUUCCUGCAAGGUAUUUAUGACAGUCAUAAAACUGGCCAACUCCCCCAGGAGAGGGGAGUCUUGAAACCUUUGUUUAGACGGCACCUUUGAUCUCCAUCCAGGAGGGCAUAGGCUAUGGUCCUUGGUGUCCUAGCAGAGCAUUCCCUCCCCUUUGCUAUUGCUCCAGUAAUUGUUGAGCUAGUGCAAAAUCUUGCCAUUGACAAGGUGGCUUUGGAGAGGAUGAAGCUCUCGAGAACAGCGGCAUCCUACAAGAUGGUCAAUGGCCUAGGGCGGACCUUCUCCGAAAGGACCUUCUCAAACCUGAGGAGGUUUCCCUUUUCUUUGAACUUGGAUGAGAGCACAUCUAACAGCAACAAAAAGGUUGUUCUCAUAUUUAAUUAUUGUUAUCUUAUCAAUUUGGCAUUCUAUUCACUCUAUUUGCACUACUUGUAUCUUGUUUUAUUCUUAUCUUACAUUGUUGGAGAGCUCAAGUAGAAAGCAUUUAAUUGUCCAGUCAACAUCUGUUUACUGUGCAUUUGACAAAAUAACCCUGAUUUUGUUUGAUUGAUUUUUGAAGGUCCUCUCCAUGCUGGUAAGCUACUACCAUGAUGACAUGAGAAAGGUGGUGGUGGAGCACUUGGGGUCCCUGGAGGUCAUAAAGGUGAAUGCUGUCAGUUUGGACAACGUGCUCUGCGACUUCUUCAACCAUAACAUAACAUGGAAAAAUCUGGUGAGCAUGAUGAUGGAUUCUUGUAGCGUCAUGAGAGGUAGCAAGACCGGCAUCGAGACAAGGACCUUCUAACCCUGCUCGACAUUGAUGGAGUCUCCUGUCAUCACAUCCACAAUGCAGCAAAGAAGUUUGCAGAGCCCUAGACCACCACCAUGAGCAGCUCUUCAAUGAACAGCACACUGAUCAUCAGCGGUCUCCAGAUCAAUGAUGUACCUCAAGGAUAUAUGUCGGUACCUGAACAUCCCUGCCUCCAAUCCUCAGAGGUUUGUGCCCCAUCGGUGGCUGUCCGCAUAUGAUGUCAGCAUUUCGACACACAGAAUGCUGUACUACGGGUUCCCGAGCAACGAAGAGCAACCAGGAGCUGUAAUAGGACCCACUGGAACACAUUUAUAAAGAACACCACGUGAGCGAGAAGGCACAAGCGCGGAUCAAGUCUUUGCACGAGGACCUCAACAGAAAAGGCAUGACACAGCAAGGAAAAGACAGAAAGAAGAGUGACUAGGAAGGUGUGGCAUGAGGGCACUACAACUGACCUACAACUCAGCAUUUACGUGGGUGUAUCCUGAUGGAACACGUAAUGAUUUCCCAGGGUAGCCAGACGUUGGUACAUUAGCUCCACGACAAGCAGAUUGAAACUUUUCAAUGCUGAAUACAUCACUAAAGUGUCACCCAAGACUAUGGGAGUGAUGGUACUUAAGGAGAAGAUACUUCUGUUUGCCAGGGAGAUGUAUGUGGGGCGGGAAGCAGAUGGAUUCAGAACCAGGAAUCCUAAUCAUGCUCUGCUGAAGUCUUUCAUGGAACAGGUCACCAAAGCCUUGCAGUCACACACUGAGGUCACUGUCUGCUCUGGACCCGAUUUUGUGAGGCCACUCGCAGGCAGCGAUCCAGUUGAAGAAGCUGAGCACAAUGUUGGGCUACCUCUCACCUGCCGACAGUGAUCUCCACCAGGAGAUCAUGCGAUACAACAUUGAUCCAUGCCUGGCCAGCUUCACGGAGGGAGAUGACAUGGUGGAGUGGUGGGCUCACGUCUUGGCCCAAACACUGUAUCCAGCCCUGGGUAAUGUGGUGAAAAGUGCCCUCUCUGUCUUUCAUGGUCCCAGGGUUGAAUCUUCAUUUAGCUGGAUGAACGACAUCAUUGAUACACGAAGCACCAACAUGAACAUCUCAACUUUCAAUGCAAUACAGACUGUGAAGUACACCCUGCAGACCAGGCAGAAGACCGCAGUGGAGAUGUUUAAACGGGAGGAUGCAAGGUUUGGAGAGGUGGACCGAAGGCUCUGCAGAAACAUCAGGUCAGCAGGAACAGUAGACAAGACCCAGUGGCAGCGGAGUCUGCUGGAAGACCGAAGAUGACAUCUCGGGUAUGGCUGUCAGCCAUUUGGAAGUGCUCAGGAGAGCAAGACGGCGGCAGCUGAAGAGGAGAAGAGGGCAAGGCGCAAGCCUGCCGCAGAACAGCGCAAGCGGGCGCUUGAAAUACUUGUCCAGGUUAUGAAAAAGAAGUAGGGGCAAGCCCUCUCCUUCCCUCCAGUACUCUCCCUUUGUCAAAUAAAUCCCAAAUUGUUCCUGGCCUAGGACGCAGCAUCCGAGGCCUGUUUUCUGCCACCAUUUACCUUCAUUUGAUGGGCUAUGUUUUUAUGUUUGCACAACACUUUAAGAAAGUGUUGUGAAAAUGUAUGUGGGUAUAGGAAAGAGUUCUAUUUGAGUUUCGUUUAACUUUCCCUCAGAAAUGUUCUGUCCUGUUGGGCAGUACAGCAUCAGAGGGACUGUUCCUGAUUAUCUUGAAAUAACUCCAUCCUUUGAGAAAUAUUGAUGUGGUAUUAUAUUGACAUACAAAAAUGUAUGUGGUAUUAUAUUGACUCGACUACAUGAACCAGUAUAAAAUAUGAAUGUAUUGUUUAUUUUGUGGACUUGAGUGUCAUGUGCAGUAAAGUAUGGCAACAAAUAACAUUGGAUUGUUUUCCUUAAAAUCUUUACCUGUGAGUUAAGUUCACAUUAACCACUUUUUAUUUUACACACAGAGACCGAUCAUGUGGAUCAUAUUCUUUGUUGUUUAAUUAGUACACAGUUAAGCUGCAUUUCAAGAAGGGAUUCAGCCUAAAAGUCACUAGAAAUUUGAAUUUUAAAGCUGAUUUACAAUAAACAAAAUCCACUUAGCAGGGAUGUUUUGUGUAUUUCAGUGCAAAGAAAAUGUGUCACCUUUUUGGGCCCUCACCGGUUUGCAUCCCUGCCAUUGUAAAGCAUGGAGAAAGAGUUGUGCUGGUGUGGGGGUGCUUUGCUGGUGACACUGUCAGUGAUUUAUUUAGGA